CCCACCAGAGCCCUCUCCGGAACCCGG
rnacentral:piRNA from 1 species